GGCUCUGUGGUGUAAUGGACAGCACAUUGGACUUCUACAAUAAAGUGUCAUUCAAAGGUUGUGGGUUCAAGUCCCACCAGAGUCA
rnacentral:tRNA from 1 species